GAUGAACGCUGGCGGCGUGCCUAAUACAUGCAAGUCGAGCGAACAGAUGAGGAGCUUGCUCCUCUGACGUUAGCAGCGGACGGGUGAGUAACACGUGGAUAACCUACCUAUAAGACUGGGAUAACUUCGGGAAACCGGAGCUAAUACCGGAUAAUAUAUUGAACCGCAUGGUUCAAUAGUGAAAGACGGUUUUGCUGUCACUUAUAGAUGGAUCCGCGCCGCAUUAGCUAGUUGGUAAGGUAACGGCUUACCAAGGCAACGAUGCGUAGCCGACCUGAGAGGGUGAUCGGCCACACUGGAACUGAGACACGGUCCAGACUCCUACGGGAGGCAGCAGUAGGGAAUCUUCCGCAAUGGGCGAAAGCUUGACGGAGCAACGCCGCGUGAGUGAUGAAGGUCUUCGGAUCGUAAAACUCUGUUAUUAGGGAAGAACAAAUGUGUAAGUAACUAUGCACGUCUUGACGGUACCUAAUCAGAAAGCCACGGCUAACUACGUG
rnacentral:rRNA from 1 species